rnacentral:rRNA from 1 species
CUGUUAUUAGGGAAGAACAUACGUGUAAGUAACUGUGCACGUCUUGACGGUACCUAAUCAGAAAGCCACGGCUAACUACGUGCCAGCAGCCGCGGUAAUACGUAGGUGGCAAGCGUUAUCCGGAAUUAUUGGGCGUAAAGCGCGCGUAGGCGGUUUUUUAAGUCUGAUGUGAAAGCCCACGGCUCAACCGUGGAGGGUCAUUGGAAACUGGAAAACUUGAGUGCAGAAGAGGAAAGUGGAAUUCCAUGUGUAGCGGUGAAAUGCGCAGAGAUAUGGAGGAACACCAGUGGCGAAGGCGACUUUCUGGUCUGUAACUGACGCUGAUGUGCGAAAGCGUGGGGAUCAAACAGGAUUAGAUACCCUGGUAGUCCACGCCGUAAACGAUGAGUGCUAAGUGUUAGGGGGUUUCCGCCCCUUAGUGCUGCAGCUAACGCAU